UACGUAGGGGGCUAGCGUUGUCCGGAAUCAUUGGGCGUAAAGCGCGUGUAGGCGGUCCGGUAAGUCCGCUGUGAAAGUCGGGGGCUCAACCCUCGAAUGCCGGUGGAUACUGUCGGGCUAGAGUGCGGAAGAGGCGAGUGGAAUUCCUGGUGUAGCGGUGAAAUGCGCAGAUAUCAGGAGGAACACCUAUUGCGAAGGCAGCUCGCUGGGACGUAACUGACGCUGAGACGCGAAAAGCGUGGGGGAGCAAACAGG
rnacentral:rRNA from 1 species